rnacentral:lncRNA from 1 species
GCUGUGAGCCGAGAUCUCACCACUGCACUCCAGCCUGGGCGACAGAGCAAGACUCUGUCACACACACACAAAAAAUAAAUGAACUGUUGCUAUGUGGCAUACCAUGGGUGUGGUUCAAACAUCAUAUUGAACAAAAGAGGCUAGACACAAAAGACAGCAUGGUGCCAUUUAUAGAAAACUCACCAAGAGACCAAAUAACCUACGACAUUGCAUGGCAGGACAUGUUAGGAGGUGGUGGGGGUGGUGACAGGAAGGAAUGCACCAGAAACAUGUGGGUGACAGGUCUGUGCCUACUUGCUAGCGGGUGUCUCCACGUGUCAGAAUUCUGUCUGCAGCCUGGCAAAAGUAAGUUGUGGAAAGAUGCGAUACCUGUCCCCUCCCUCUCGUUCUUGGAACUGACGUCUCCUGGAUGGAUCCUAGCAAAUGGCCAU